CAGCAGCCACGGUAAUACGGAGGGUGCAAGCGUUAAUCGGAAUUACUGGGCGUAAAGCGCACGCAGGCGGUCUGACAAGUCAGAUGUGAAAUCCCCGGGCUUAACCUGGGAACUGCAUUUGAAACUGUCAGGCUGGAGUCUUGUAGAGGGGGGUAGAAUUCCAGGUGUAGCGGUGAAAUGCGUAGAGAUCUGGAGGAAUACCGGUGGCGAAGGCGGCCCCAUGGACAAAGACUGACGCUCAGGUGCGAAAGCGUGGGGAGCAAACAGGAUUAGAUACCCCUGUAGUCCCUGUCUCUUAUAC
rnacentral:rRNA from 1 species